AUGGCCUUCGCUGACGCAGGAGCACGGAGGCUCCUGCGCGGCGCAGGCGGCGGUGUUGCUCGAGGAAUCGCCGCCGACGCCGUCGGCAUGAGCUUCGGCCUCGACGGCUUGUGGCAGCUCAUCGCCGGCCUGUUCGCGAGCGUGGCUCACCUGCUCGUCCUGCCGUUCGAGGUGCUCGGGCACUGGCUGCAGGCGGCCGUCGCCGCCGUGGCCCACCUGGUCGUCCUGCCGUUCGAGGCGCUAUGGCACUUGCUGCAGUCCGCCGCCGCCGGCGUGAGCUUCUGCUUCGACAGCCUCGUCGCCGCGCUUGGGAGCGCGGCCCACGCUCUGGUGGUGCCGUUCGAGGCGCUCUGGCACCUGCUGCAGUCCGCCGUCGCUGGCGUGAGCUUCUGCUUCGACAACCUCGUCGCCGCGCUCGGGAGCGCGGCCCACGCUCUGGCGGUGCCGUUCGAAACGCUCUGGCAGUGGAUCCAGGCCGCACCCGCGAGCAUCAGUUUCGGCUUCCACGGUCUGGGGCAGCUCAUACACGGCUGCUUCGACAGCCUCGUCGCGGCGCUCGGGAGCGCGGCCCACGCACUGGCGGUGCCGUUUGAAGCGGUCUGGCAGUGGCUGCAGGCCGCCGCCGCGGGCGUCAGUUCCGGCUUCGACGUCUUCUGGGAGCACAUGCAGGGCAUCUUCGCCGGCGUUCCCGCCGCGCUGGCCAGCGCUGCCCACAGCCUCGUCCUCCCAUUAGAGUCUUUCUGGCGGUGGGUGCACAACUCCAUCGCCGGCAUCAGCCUCGAUCUGGACGGCUUCUGGCCGCUCGUCCAGCGCUUCGUCGACACGGCCGCGAGCAAGGCCCACGAGCUCGUCCCGGCCUUGGAGGCGUUCUGGCGGUGGCUCAAGGACGCCGCCGUCGUCGCGCUCCCUUACGUGCUGGCCAUCGCCGCGGUCGUUUGCGUUGCGGCCGUGGCCUGGUACUGCUGGCAGAUCCUGUGCACCGCCGCCGUGCAGGUGGCGAAGGCGCUCGUCCAGGUCCUCUCCUCCUGCUGGGGCUGGUUGUAUGGCGUUGCCAUGCUGGUCGGGCCGUGCUGCGGCCACGUUACCAUGGCCGCCCCGGGCGUUGCCGGCGGGCUGAUGUCACGUGUUGCGUUCGAGACGGCCCCGCGCCUGUUCUUCCAGAUCUCCCGCUCCGCUGGCGGCCCCGUGGCCACUGCUGUCUUCUCCACGCCCACCAUCGCCUCGGCGGUCGCUGCGCCGGUCGCCGCCCUUUUCGGCGGCUGA
rnacentral:rRNA from 1 species